rnacentral:lncRNA from 1 species
UGAGAGCUCAAGAAAGAACAUUUUGCUACAAAAUUUAUGAUGAUACAAUUUCUAUGGAUUUUUCCUGACACUAUUAUCAUCAGCAUAUAAAUCAGUCUGUCCCGUGAAAAUCUGAUCAUAUCAAGUUAGAAUUUAAUCCUGAACUUAGCCUUUCAUGUUGAAAAUUUAACGACAACCAGUCCUUAAAUUUGAAUUAGAAGUUCAAAAGCUAAGGACUGUCCUUAAGUUUGAAAUUCAAAAUUCAAAAGCUAAGGAUAGGCAGUCCUUAAGUUUAACUAUGAAGUUCAAAAGCUAAGGACACUUGGUCCUUAACUUAUAGAUUCAAGUUUAGAACUUAAG